CUCAGGCUCGGCGUCCGGCGCCGCCAUUGGGGCGGGGGAGGCCCGGGAGGAGGGGCGGGGGGGGGUCGUUCCCGGACAUUCCCGACCCUUCCCAGCCCUUCCCGGCAUUCCCGACAUUCCCAACCCGCGCCUCACGGCCGCUCAGCCAGAGCGGCAGCCUUCGGAGCGGUUUCCAGUCAGAGGGGCUUUGAAGGGACCCGGGAUGCCCAAAGGGAAGAGCGAAGGAUCGCCGGUGCGGUUCAACCUCGAUUUUCGUCCGCUUGGGAAGAGAGGAUUGUCGAGAGGCGGCAUCGUCGGCGUCGCCUUUACCGUCGCCGUCGACCGUCCUGGUGCCGAGCAGCGGGUUUUAGGGUGAAUUGACAGAUGAAGGCUAAGAAUCUAUGGUACGUUCCCAUCGCUCUGUUCUUAUGUUGUGAUAUAAUAAUAUGAAUAAUAAUGUUGGUAUUCGUUAAGCUCUUACUGUGUGCCGAGCACUGUUCCGAGCGCUGGGGUCGACACGGGGGAAUCGGGUUGUCCCACGUGGGGCUCCCGGUCUUCGUCCCCAUUUUAUAGAUGAGGUAACCGAGGCACCGAGAAGUGAAGUGACUCGCCCAAAGUCGCACAGCUGACGAGUGGCCGAGCCGGGAUCGGAACCCGUGACUUCUGACUCCAAAGCCCGUGCUCUUUCCACUAGGCCAGAUGGAUGUGUCUGAAACUCAGUGGGGGUUUUUUUGUUUUUUUUUUUUGAGGGGGCACCUCUCAAUGUGAAACGAUUAAACUUGAUAAGAUAGGCCUCAUCAAGGCAGGUUUAGUAAUAAAAAUAAUUGUCGCAUCUGUUCGGCACUCUACUGAAAUGCCGAGGUAGAUAGAGUCACGAUGAUCAGAUCGGACACAGUCCCCGUCCCACGUGGGGCUCACCCUCUAACGCGGAGGGAAACAGGAAAUUAACCCCCUUUUACAGGUGAGGAAACGGAGGCACAGACUCGCCCAGGUUCAUGCGGCAGGCAGGCGGCAGAACUGGGAUUAAAACCCGGGUCUUCUGACUCCCAGACCUCUGCUCUUCCUACUGGGCCACGCUGCUUCCCGAGCGUAGUUCAGCG
rnacentral:lncRNA from 1 species